CAACUCUACUGUAUACACUGACAAUGCAUAUUGUUUAGAUAAUUAUUUGGCUCAAGCCAGAGGCUGGUCUUAAACCCUACAGAUAAUUGUAAUAAACUCAGAAAUGAUAGUGAAGAGCCUGGUUGGGCUCUGGUUGGGUAUCCCAUAUCUGAGUGCUUAUAUGGGAUUACAGGGGCAUGGAUGGAGGAAAACAGCAUCAAACUUGCAAGAAGCAAAAACAUGGAUUGUGGAUCCCCAUGGUGCCAGGAGAGGUGAUAGGGACAGAGAGCCAACAGUUUCUGAACCUCAGUCUUGCUACCUGGAAAUGGAGACGCUAAUCCUUAUCUGAGAGCUCUUUUGCACUACACAGAGGAAUAAACAAGAGAAAGAAAUGUGUAAAACGGAUUCACUCUUGAAGGCCUUACACUGGGAUCAGACAUCUCUCUAUAUAUAUACUUUAAAAAAUUGAAGGCUGGCUCAGAGAGGACCCAGAAAAGGAGAAAACAAUGCCGAAGUACAACUGUUGUAUUACAUCGAUUUGAUGGUGGAUGCCACAAACCAACGAUUAUUUCCCAGCACCAGCCCACGUACCUGCUCUCUGAAGGGGACAGCCAUGCAGCACCGCCUUAUUGAGCAAGAUGCUGAGAGCCGCUUUAACCACAGCCUGCUGCCCUUGGCUCGGGCGGCUUCUGGCGGCUGUCAGCCCCAGGCCC